AAGAACUAUAUGACCGACCACAAGAAAUUUCCAGGACAAACAGUACGAGUGGCGUAUUUCUGCAAGAAGGCCAUACGGAAACAUGCAAACGGGAAAAAAAUCUUCGUAAAAGACACUCCAGAUUGUAAACUGAACUGCUGCUAUCAAAAAGACGUUCGUACUCACACUUGCUGGAACUACAAAAAAACUGGAUGGUAUGUCAUGCAUGCCUGGCAAGACUUGCAAGAGAGGAGUUUGUGGAGAACACCAAUGGGCUGGUUAAAGAACACUGCUUUUCCUAAUACUUAAGUACAAACUGGUGUUUCGGAAAGAAAAUAAAGAAGGUGCACUACACUAUUAUA